GAUGAACGCUGGCGGCGUGCUUAACACAUGCAAGUCGAACGGAAAGGCUCCUGCUUGCAGGGGUACUCGAGUGGCGAACGGGUGAGUAACACGUGGGUGAUCUGCCCUGUACUUCGGGAUAAGCUUGGGAAACGGGGUCUAAUACCGGAUAGGACAACUUUUUGGAUAUUGUUGUGGAAAGCUUUUGCGGUAUGGGAUGAGCUCGCGGCCUAUCAGCUUGUUGGUGGGGUAAUGGCCUACCAAGGCGUCGACGGGUAGCCGGCCUGAGAGGGUGUACGGCCACAUUGGGACUGAGAUACGGCCCAGACUCCUACGGGAGGCAGCAGUGGGGAAUAUUGCACAAUGGGCGCAAGCCUGAUGCAGCGACGCCGCGUGGGGGAUGAAGGCCUUCGGGUUGUAAACUCCUUUCGCUAGGGACGAAGCUUUUUUGUGACGGUACCUGGAGAAGAAGCACCGGCUAACUACGUG
rnacentral:rRNA from 1 species